GUCAUCGUAGCUAAAAUUACUAAAGCGUAACACUGAAAAUGUUAACAUGGAUAAACAAAUCCCGAAUGACA
rnacentral:tRNA from 1 species